rnacentral:tRNA from 1 species
GCCACCUUAGCUCAGUGGUAGAGCAACGGUUUCGUAAACCGUAGGUCUCGGGUUCAAAUCCCGAAGGUGGCU